UACGAAGGGUGCAAGCGUUACUCGGAAUUACUGGGCGUAAAGGGUGCGUAGGUGGUUUGUUAAGUCUGCUGUGAAAUCCCCGGGCUCAACCUGGGAAUGGCAGUGGAUACUGGCAAGCUAGAGUGCGGUAGAGGGUAGUGGAAUUCCCGGUGUAGCAGUGAAAUGCGUAGAGAUCGGGAGGAACACCAGUGGCGAAGACGGCUACCUGGACCAGCACUGACACUGAAGCACGAAAGCGUGGGGAGCAAACAGG
rnacentral:rRNA from 1 species